rnacentral:rRNA from 1 species
GAUGAACGCUGGCGGCGUGCCUAAUACAUGCAAGUCGAGCGAACAGACGAUGAGCUUGCUCCUCUGACGUUAGCGGCGGACGGGUGAGUAACACGUGGAUAACCUACCUAUAAGACUGGGAUAACUGCGGGAAACCGGAGCUAAUACCGGAUAAUAUAUUGAACCGCAUGGUUCAAUAGUGAAAGACGGUUUUGCUGUCACUUAUAGAUGGAUCCGCGCCGCAUUAGCUAGUUGUUAAGGUAACGGCUUACCAAGGCAACUAUGCGUAGCCGACCUGAGAGAGGGAUAGGCCACACGGGAACGUAGCCGCGGUCAAGGGUCCUACGGGAGGGAGCAGUCGGGUAUCUUCCGCAGUGGGCGAGAGCAUGACGGAGCAACGCGGAGUGAGUGAUGGAGGUGUUCCGAUCGUGAAGCUCUGUUAUUAGGGAAGAACAACUGUGUAAGUAACUAUGCACGUCGUGACGGUACCUGAUCAGAAAGCAACGGCUAACUACGUG